rnacentral:lncRNA from 10 species
CUUUCCUUCCUCCUCCUCUUCCCCGGCGGCCCCUCCCUCCUUCCCUCCUCCCUCGCUCGCCUCCCUUUCUGGGGAUGGGAGCCCCGCCCACAUCCUCCCCUCCAGCCGCCCGACCUCGCCUAGCAGGCCCGGGUCCCGGAAGCCCAGGCAGCGCCCGAGUCCGCAGCUGCCGUCGGAGCUGGGACGCCGCUGCCUCCAGCUCUGGGAAGCGGCUGGGGCUCACCUGGGGACCACGUGCGGAGUGUGUGGGAACAGUGUAACCUGAACAAGAACGUAGUGUCUAUAGGAUGAGUGACACUUGGAAGCAGAGGCAGAGUGCUACAUGGACACCUGACUGUACCAAAUGGUUAUUGUGUUUUCUCAAUCAGACGCCAAUUGCGGAAUACCAGCUGAUAUUCUACCCUCAACUCAUGCUAAAAGCUUUCUAGUCUUUCUCAAGGAAACCUGUCCAAAGGGAUAUGUGAUCCCAGGAAUUAUUAUUGUAUAAGUAAUACUUGGAUGUUUUUACUAAUAGUUCACACAUUUCACAGCCCUUUGGUGGAGAGCCUUUUUCGUUAAUGUUCUGUUCAAGAAUAAUUGCAUAGUAUUUAUAAUCCUCUCAGGGAUUAAGUAUAGAUGUAAUACACAACUCAAAGAUGCUUGUUGAUGUUCACUUUGUAAAAAUUCAUCAAGUUGUAUACUUGAUAUUUGUGCACUUUCUGUGUUACAUAUUUUUUAAUUAAAUACUUAUAGAAACUAU